GACGAACGCUGGCGGCGUGCUUAACACAUGCAAGUCGAACGGAAAGGCCCUGCUUUUGUGGGGUGCUCGAGUGGCGAACGGGUGAGUAACACGUGAGUAACCUGCCCUUGACUUUGGGAUAACUUCAGGAAACUGGGGCUAAUACCGGAUAGGAGCUCCUGCAGCAUGGUGGGGGUUGGAAAGUUUCGGCGGUUGGGGAUUGGUUCGCGGGUUAUCAGCUUGUUGGGGGGGUAGUGGCUUACCAAGGCUUGGAAGGGUAGCCGGCCUGAGAGGGUGACCGGCCACACUGGGACUGAGGUAAGGCCCAGACUCGUACGGGAGGCAACAGUGGGGAAUAUUGACGAAUGGGCGGAACCCGGAUGCAGAAACGCCGCGGGCGGGAUAACGCCCUUCGGGUGGUAAACCACUUUCGCAAGUGACGAAGCGUGAGUGACGGUAAUGUGUAAAGAAGCACCGGCUAACUACGUG
rnacentral:rRNA from 1 species